GACGAACGCUGGCGGCGUGCUUAACACAUGCAAGUCGAACGAUGAAGCCCUUCGGGGUGGAUUAGUGGCGAACGGGUGAGUAACACGUGGGCAAUCUGCCCUUCACUCUGGGACAAGCCCUGGAAACGGGGUCUAAUACCGGAUAACACUCUGUCCCGCAUGGGACGGGGUUGAAAGCUCCGGCGGUGAAGGAUGAGCCCGCGGCCUAUCAGCUUGUUGGUGGGGUGAUGGCCUACCAAGGCGACGACGGGUAGCCGGCCUGAGAGGGCGACCGGCCACACUGGGACUGAGACACGGCCCAGACUCCUACGGGAGGCAGCAGUGGGGAAUAUUGCACAAUGGGCGAAAGCCUGAUGCAGCGACGCCGCGUGAGGGAUGACGGCCUUCGGGUUGUAAACCUCUUUCAGCAGGGAAGAAGCGAGAGUGACGGUACCUGCAGAAGAAGCGCCGGCUAACUACGUGCCAGCAGCCGCGGUAAUACGUAGGGCGCAAGCGUUGUCCGGAAUUAUUGGGCGUAAAGAGCUCGUAGGCGGCUUGUUGCGUCGGUUGUGAAAGCCCGGGGCUUAACCCCGGGUCUGCAGUCGAUACGGGCAGGCUAGAGUGUGGUAGGGGAGAUCGGAAUUCCUGGUGUAGCGGUGAAAUGCGCAGAUAUCAGGAGGAACACCGGUGGCGAAGGCGGAUCUCUGGGCCAUAACUGACGCUGAGGAGCGAAAGCGUGGGGAGCGAACAGGAUUAGAUACCCUGGUAGUCCACGCCGUAAACGUUGGGAACUAGGUGUUGGCGACAU
rnacentral:rRNA from 1 species